GUGUCAGCAGCCGCGGUAAUACGGAGGGUGCAAGCGUUGUUCGGAAUUACUGGGCGUAAAGCGCGCGUAGGCGGUUUGCUCAGUCAGAUGUGAAAGCCCUCGGCUUAACCGGGGACGUGCAUUUGAAACUGGCAGACUUGAGUAUUGGAGGGGGUGGUGGAAUUCCCGGUGUAGAGGUGAAAUUCGUAGAUAUCGGGAGGAAUACCGGUGGCGAAGGCGACCACCUGGCCAAAUACUGACGCUGAGGUGCGAAAGCGUGGGGAGCAAACAGGAUUAGAAACCCUAGUAGUCC
rnacentral:rRNA from 1 species